AUGACCAUGAAGGAUAUGGUUGUUUCCUCAGCUUCUGUCUGCCAAGGACGUGGUGGAUCCAAAGAAGUUUCUGAUGCAGAGUUAGCUUUGGAAGGAACUUCUUCUGCUCACUGUUUACAUGCUGGUGGUACUCUUGGUGUUUUGCCAACUGGAAAGAAGAUAGUUAGCAUGGGCAUUAUUCAUUCAUCAAUGCCAAAACACAAAAGGCUUAGACAACAAAAAAGAAUGCCCGUUUUUCAAUGGUCUAUUGAAGAAAAAUCAAAGGGGACAAAAGAUAAUACUCCCUCCAUUCCGAUUUACUCGUCGUGGUUUUAG
rnacentral:rRNA from 1 species